rnacentral:rRNA from 1 species
AACGAACGCUGGCGGCAUGCCUAACACAUGCAAGUCGAACGAAGCCUUCGGGCUUAGUGGCGCACGGGUGCGUAACGCGUGGGAACCUGCCUUUCGGUUCGGAAUAACAGUUAGAAAUGACUGCUAAUACCGGAUGAUGUCUUCGGACCAAAGAUUUAUCGCCGAAAGAUGGGCCCGCGUAGGAUUAGCUAGUUGGUGGGGUAAAGGCCUACCAAGGCGACGAUCCUUAGCUGGUCUGAGAGGAUGAUCAGCCACACUGGGACUGAGACACGGCCCAGACUCCUACGGGAGGCAGCAGUGGGGAAUAUUGGACCAUGGGCGAAAGCCUGAUCCAGCAAUGCCGCGUGAGUGAUGAAGGCCUUAGGGUUGUAAAGCUCUUUUACCAGGGAUGAUAAUGACAGUACCUGGAGAAUAAGCUCCGGCUAACUCCGUGCCAGCCGCCGCCGUAACAC